UUCUCUGUGUGUGUGUUCACUACAGUAAAAAAAAAUAUUUUGUAAACCAGCAAUCAACUAAUAUUACAGCUUAUAAUUUCUGGCCUCAACUAGGAAAGCAGUCAGCAGAACCAGUUCUAAGACAGACUGUGUCAACUGUGACAGAAAAAUAUUAUUGGAACUUGCUAUUUGUGAUGCAGAGAAUUUUCAGGGAAGCCCAGGACAUCUUUCAGCUGAUGGGACACAUACAUGAAAUGUAGUCCAGAAAUGGCUCCAAAGAACUUUCAGCAUCAAUCAACAAGAUAGAUGAAAGAGGAAGAGAGAAGCAGCACUGCUUGCCCACAUAUGAAGUCAAGAGGUGAGUGACAGAAAAGAGAAAAAAAAUGUUUCAGAUUUGUAUGAUUAAUAUGCAGUAUUUAAAAUCUAACUGGAUUGCUUUGUGAUGAUCAAAUAAGUAGCAGAGGUAGGAUGCUGAAUAUUAUGAACUUUACAUAACAGCCACCUCUCAUCACUCUUUUAAAACAUGAACCAAUUUGUUUCCAGCACAUCCCUGGAUGAAUAACUGCACUGUUGUCUAAAGGGUGGUAAGCUUGAAACACAUAAAUGUAGGGGGUGGAGGAAAGCCCAAGACUGCAUAGAAACUGUUUUCUUGCCUCCUGUUUCAUUGUGGUUGACAACAGAUCUCAUACUAUCCCUUGCCUGCAGCCUACAAUGAAAGUAUUUUUUAUAACAACCUCUAUUGUUAAUUUUCAAGAAGAUGAAAAUGUCUAUAGAAAAGCCAGUGUCACAGAUGAAGACUGAAGUGGCCAAAAUACAUGAAGCAUUAUAUGAUUAAGAUUUUUUUACUGUUCAGCCAGUCACAUCUUUCUUCUCCUUUGAGACAGAUAUAUUUUGAAAUGGCUGUAUUAAGUUAAAAAAAAUCUAUGCCUUGCCUUAACGCUGGGUUUUAUAUCCUAUCCUUUCACAUGUGUGCUUGUGUGUGUGUGUGUGUAAGAUUACUUUAUUAGCUGCCAAGAAAACGUCCUUUAAGGAUUACACUAAAUCUUUAAUUUUGCAGUCAGUGAGAGGGCAUUUCAGAUGAUAUCCAGUGAUAUUCAUAGGGGUUUUUUUCUGGUCUAAUAUCUCACCUAUUCUGCUCCCAAACAAGAAUAAUAUUCUGACAAAAGUAGACCACACCUGAGUUGCAAGGCAGACAACCAAAUAAAGGAGCUGCCUGGCUAAGACCUGGAACUGAU
rnacentral:lncRNA from 1 species